CAGUGUGCCUUUGCCUAGAUUUGUUUCCCAACUCGAGAAUAGGUUGUAUGUGGUGAGUGUUGUGCCCAAAGUCUUUGUCCCCCUCACACCCCUCGCCCAGGGUCGGGGACCAAGCUGCGGCGGCCUUGGUGAUCUGGGCUGGUAGGACAGGCAGGAGAGGAGCGCGUCAGUCCCGCUCCCCGCCAGGCGGUGGCACCAGUGUGCAGGCCAGGCCGGGCUCCGCGUGGCUAUCGCAGUUCAGCAGCUGCAGCCCAGCCAGGCUUCUCAAGACCCCACCUGAAGAAGCACCCGUUCUGGGCAUUACCCGAAAACAAUGUCUGAGACUCCCCGGUUUUGCCCAUAACUGCAUUGUCCUGUGGAUGCCCAGUGGAACCCAUGGUGAGAACCCAAGGGUCAGGCUGAAUAGGCCAUGCUCCUCUGUGGUAAGCACUUGCCUUCCUAAACCACUGUCCUACCUGCUGCCCCAGUGGCUCUGCCAGCCUGUGUGUCUCCACAGGCUGUGGGGAGGGAGGUGCAGGGGGGUGGGCUCUGCCCAGGCUUCUCGCCUUGCUCCUGCCUAGUGUGGCUCUGCAGGGUGAGCCUACUCUUCUUAGGAUACCUUCUGGUUUUGGUGGUGAGAGACAAGUGUCAUUCUUGGCACACAACAGCACCUCAGGAUGCCUGGUAAAACAUGAUGAGUUUUGCCAGCAGGAUGGGUGAGCUGUGCCUGGCUGGGCUGGCCUGCUCGCUUUCUUCAUUCAGGGUCUCUGAAUGACAGGUUCCCAGCACCCACAUCUUGGGGCCACGGGGGGACGGGGCUUGCCAUCUUUCCCCUGCUGUUUGGUGAAAGGCCGAGACUGUCAGUGCUCCCUGCCAGGCCAGUACUCCUCCUCUGGGAGCCUGUGUCCCUGACCAGAGGAGGGUGGGAGGCAGUACCCCGGAAUAGAAAGGGCUUGGGGGUUAGGAGCGAGAGGCUGAGGGGCUGGCCUUGUUGGGCUCUUUACCCACUGCAGGGUUUUUACAAAGUCCUGCAGGUUAAGGUAUGAACCUUGGUUUCCUAUUAUAAAACAAAGAUGUCCACCCCAUGGUGACUUAUUCAUGGUAUGAAGCUAUGAGGUACAAGGACUGUGACAAUAAUGAUAACCGAGACUGCUGCUGAUCAAUGUUUGCGAAGGCAGCUCCUGUGUGUGGGUCUUUACAUUUGUGAAUCAUGCACAGGGCGUAGGUAUGAGCUGUCUACAUGCUGAAGAGCACAAUGUCACUGAGAGUGGGGUGGUGAUGAAUGCUGUCCUGGGCUCCCUAGACCUGGAUGAGCCCCACAGCAACCCCAAGCCUGUACGACCUAGACAAGUCUGCCUCCUCUCUGGUGCUCAUGCUUUGUUAUGGAGGAGGUUGGUUCAGAUGACCUGUAAGGGUCCAUCCCAUGAAGUGGCCUUGGGAGAGUCAACAUCAGGAACCUGCCAGGGAU
rnacentral:lncRNA from 1 species